GCAGUAGCCGCGGUAAUACGUAGGUCCCGAGCGUUGUCCGGAUUUAUUGGGCGUAAAGCGAGCGCAGGCGGUUAGAUAAGUCUGAAGUUAAAGGCUGUGGCUUAACCAUAGUACGCUUUGGAAACUGUUUAACUUGAGUGCAAGAGGGGAGAGUGGAAUUCCAUGUGUAGCGGUGAAAUGCGUAGAUAUAUGGAGGAACACCGGUGGCGAAAGCGGCUCUCUGGCUUGUAACCGACGCUGAGGCUCGAAAGCGUGGGGAGCAAACAGGAUUAGAUACCCCCGUAGUCCCUGUCUCUUAUACA
rnacentral:rRNA from 1 species